UCCAGGUGGUGGACUAUUGCUAUAUUCGCACUUGGAUUGAGAUUAGCUGCUACCCAUUGGACCAUUUAUUGUGAGCCGUAUGAGAAAUUUUGUUUCAAAAUAUUCUUUGUUGCUGUUGAAGUUGGGUUAGAAAUUUUUCCAGCUGAUUUUAUGUUCUAAAAAGAGAAAUUGCAGCUGUGAAGAGAUAAAAAUCAAGAUAAACGCAAGGCAG
rnacentral:misc_RNA from 1 species